CCGCCAUGUUGAAUGGCCCCACUUGACGAGUGAAUACUAUAGAUUUGUAUUACAGAAUGUAUAGUUUUCGCUUUAAAACGCUUAUUUUCUUCUCUUGGACCGAAACAAACCUUGUUUCAUGAAAGAAAUAUAUAACACGAAUGCUUCAAGAAGUAAAUUUGAAGUUUUUAACCAUGAAAUCACGGAGAAAAACGAAGUUUUGCGUCGUAAUAAUGAGUGCCACUGUGAGAGGACUGACUGAAGAUGUGAACGCCAGACUCGUCAAUGCAGGCUAAAAUGACAAGGAUUAGAUCAUAUUCAAGUGUUGGAUCAUUUAGUUAGGAAUUCUGAUUCAAAGUAGAAAGCAGCUUGACUAACUGAACAAGUGAGGCGGUACAAUUAACGGCGAUAUUGACUGCUGAGUGCUGUAUAAUAAAACAG